GUCUAUGGUCCUACCACCCUGAACACUCCCAAUCUCCUCUGAUCUUGGAAGCUAAGCAGGGUAGAACCUGGUUAGUACUUGGAUGAGAGAAAAUGAAAGCAAAAACCAAAGGGA
ensembl:rRNA 5S_rRNA 5S ribosomal RNA